UACGGGGGGGGCGAGCGUUGUCCGAAGUUACUGGGCGUAAAGCGCGUGUAGGCGGGUUGUUAAGUCCGCUGUGAAAGCCCGGUGCUCAACGCCGGAGGGUCGGUGGAUACUGGCAGUCUUGAAGUGGCUAGGGGGAAAUGGAAUUACCGGUGUAGCGGUGAAAUGCGUAGAUAUCGGUAGGAACACCAGUGGCGAAGGCGGUUUCCUGGAGCCCACUUGACGCUGAGACGCGAAAGCUGGGGGAGCAAACGGGG
rnacentral:rRNA from 1 species